rnacentral:rRNA from 1 species
UACGUAGGGUCCAAGCGUUAUCCGGAAUCACUGGGCGUAAAGCGUGCGCAGGCGGUUCGGAAAGAGAGGUGUGAAAUCCCAGGGCUUAACCUUGGAACUGCACUUCUAACUACCGGGCUAGAGUACGUCAGAGGGGGGUAGAAUUCCACGCGUAGCAGUGAAAUGCGUAGAGAUGUGGAGGAAUACCGAUGGCGAAGGCAGCCCCCUGGGAUGAUACUGACGCUCAUGCACGAAAGCGUGGGGAGCAAACAGG